UUCCUUACAAAUAAAAAAAAACAAAAACAACCCUGAAAUCGCAGCACACUCCUCUAGCUGUCUCUCUCCGCAAGUUGUCUAAAGCCUAGUAAGUCGUCACUACUCUUCCCAUUCGCAUAUACAUUUUCCUGCUAUGGUUUAGAUUCGGAUCAAUCUGAUCGUCGAAUUCUGAUCAAAUUAGACUUCCGAUCGUCAAUUAUCCGGAUAUGUAUCUUCCGAGCAAAGCCUCAAUCAGUUUCAGUACACACCACAGCAUUUGGUGAGACUGUUGCAAAUUAUAGUCGAUGGCAAUUGUGACAUGGCUGUGCGGCAAGUUGGCAGUAUCCACUUCAAGAAGAAUUUCAUUGUGAAGAAUUGGUCACCGCUUGAUCCCGAUGAGCAGCAGAAGAUAUCGCAGAGUGAGUGAUAAAGACGCGGUGAGGGAUCACAUUCUAGUCUUUGUUUCACAAGUUCCCCCAUUGUUAAGGUUCAAAUCUGAUGAGGAGAGGACCCCAGUUUAUCGCAUUGUUGAGGAGACAUUCGCGCCUCUGCUCAAUAUAUUCAGCAGGCUUGUCCAAAUUCCUAACCCAACACUGGAAGUGGCUGCACAAUUUUCUGGUCAUCCAUGCAUAUAUGUUCUGGACAGAGAUUUUUUCAUUGUGCUUCUGUAGUGGAUUCAAGUGUCAAGUUUGUGUUGGUUACAUGGAUAUUAAUAGCUGGAGAUUCCAAAGCAACUAUUUGAUGCAAAUGCGUUCAAUGCUUGGAUGAUAUAUU